AUCUUCCUGCCUCGGUGUCGCAAGGUGCUGGUAUUACAGCAUCCCUCUUGUGAGCAUGAGGAAGAAGGCCACAUUCUCAGGAUGGUGGAGGGAGAAGCUAGGAGACUGGAUACGUGAUGUCCCACUGGUGCUCCCCUGUUAACUCUGAUCUGCCUUUCUUCAUAUUCCUCAUUAAGAAAAACAAUCUCUGUCUUGACUGGGACACUUUUAUUUAUUUUUGGUUCCCUGAAGUUGAAUUUAAUUCCCACUGAUAGAACUAUGUUUAGUGCAAAGACUCAUCUGGGUAUGAUUGUCAUGAGAUCACUUUAGCCAAUAAACAGAAAUUAUGUGAAA